GAUGAACGCUGGCGGCGUGCCUAAUACAUGCAAGUCGAGCGAACAGACGAGGAGCUUGCUCCUUUGACGUUAGCGGCGGACGGGUGAGUAACACGUGGGUAACCUACCUAUAAGACUGGGAUAACUUCGGGAAACCGGAGCUAAUACCGGAUAAUAUUUCGAACCGCAUGGUUCGAUAGUGAAAGAUGGCUUUGCUAUCACUUAUAGAUGGACCUGCGCCGUAUUAGCUAGUUGGUAAGGUAACGGCUUACCAAGGCAACGAUACGUAGCCGACCUGAGAGGGUGAUCGGCCACACUGGAACUGAGACACGGUCCAGACUCCUACGGGAGGCAGCAGUAGGGAAUCUUCCGCAAUGGACGAAAGCCUGACGGAGCAACGCCGCGUGAGUGAUGAAGGUCUUCGGAUCGUAAAACUCUGUUAUUAGGGAAGAACAAACGUGUAAGUAACUGUGCACGUCUUGACGGUACCUAAUCAGAAAGCCACGGCUAACUACGUG
rnacentral:rRNA from 1 species